GGUAGAGGAGUAUUUCAUACGCGUUGAAGCUGAACCGCGAGGUUUUGUGCAGUGUAUGGAAGUAAGAAUGUUGGCAUGAGUAGCAGAAAUCCCAAUGAGAAAUUGGGACACCGAAAGCCUAAGGUUUCCUGGGCAAUGAAAAUCAACUCAGGGUUAGUCGGUCCUAAGGCGAGGUCUGUGUAGUGCAGACGUAGUCGAUGGAUGAGCUGAUUAAUAUUUCAGCACUACUGUAAUUUUCCGAUGGAGUAACGCAUUUCAAAAGUUUAAGCGUAUUUAUGAUAUGUGCGUUGAUUGCUUUGAGAAAUGAUCUAGGUAAAUCCGGGUCAAUAAUUUCAAGGAGUUGUCAAAAGACAAAGCUGCAAGGUGGAGUCAAUUUAGAUAAAAGAAAUGCCAAGAAAAACUUCUAGGGCUAAAAUUAUAGUAACCGUACCGCAAACCGACACAGGUAGGCAGGGCGAGAAGCCCAAGGUGAACGAGAGAACCUUCGUUAAGGAACUCGGCAAAAUAGUGGCCGUAAUUUAGAGAUAAGGCCUCCCCUCCCCAGUUUUCACAAAUAUUAUUUGUGAAAACUGGGGAGGGGCGCAGCUAAAGAACCCAAGCGACUGUUUAUCAAAAACACAGCUCCCUGCUAACUCGAAAGAGGAUGUAUAGGGGGUGACGCCUGGCCAGUGUCCGAACGUUAAAGGGAGAGGUCAACUGUGCGUAGCACAGAAAUUCCAAUAACCAAGAUACAAGAUACAAAUAAAUUACAAUAUUCAAAUUACAAAUUUCAAAUAAAAUUUUGAUAUUUGAACUUUGGAAUUUGAAAUUUGUUUGUAUCCUUGUAUCUUGUAUCUUGGAAUUUCUGCGCUGCGCGCGGUGAAGCUUUGAACUGAAGCGCGGAUGAACGCCGGCGAUAACUAUGAUCGUCCUAAGGUUCUGUAAUUUAUUCUGUUAAAUUCUGAUAAAUUACAGAAGGACUGGGACGAUUAUAAAAAAAUUCGCUACCUAACUAUAAUGAAAAUUAUAUGUUGUCUAAAAAUACCCAGUAAAAUGCGUGGAAAUCUUCAAAAGAUUUUUAGUACCCCUCCCCAGUUCCUCUUCAGCUUUCGAAAGCUGAAGAGGAACUGGGGAGGGGUAAAAAUCUAAAAAUACAUGGAGGCAAUACGCAGGAUUGAUUAAAAUUAAUCAAUCCUCAGAGACUUAACACUGGGGUCCGUAAAAUAUGAAUAUAAAUCCUAAUUGGGUAAGUUCAUAUUAGGACAAGAUAAAGUCCAUGCUUAAUAGAAAUAUUAAGAAGGUGCAGAGCGAAAUUCCUUGUCGGGUAAGUUCCGACCCGCACGAAUGGCGUAACGACUUGGGUACUGUCUCAACGAAGGACUCGGCGAAAUUGCAAGGCGAGUAAAGAUGCUCGCUAAUCAUAGUUGGACGAAAAGACCCCAUGAAGCUUUACUACAGCUUGACAUUGAAUUUGGGGUGUGCAUGUUCAGAAUAGGUGGGAGUCCGCCGAUUCGGCGGACAUCAGUGAGAUACCACUCUUGUAUAUUUUUAAUUCUAACCCUGACCCUUUAUUAGAUACGAAAUAUUUUUCGUGUUUAAUACAGGGUCGGGAACAGUGUCUGGUGGGUAGUUUGUCUGGGGCGGAUGCCUCAUAAAAAGUAACUGAGGCGUUUACUAAGGUUGGCUAUCCUGGGAUGGAAAUCCAGGAGAUAGUGUAAAGGCACAAGCCAGCUUUACUGCAAGACCUGCAAGUCGAGCAGUUGCGAAAGCAGAACUUAGUGAUCCGACCGUGCGAUAUAGGACGGCGGAAGCUCAUCGGAUAAAAGCUACUCUGGGGAUAACAGGCUAGUCACGCCCAAGCGUCCACAGCGACGGCGUGGUUCGGCACCUUAACAUAUCGGGGUGCCAUCUCGAGUAAUCGAGUGAAUAAAUUUGGCUAAUAACGGUGAACUCCAUAAUUAAUCUAUGGCCUAGAAUAAAAUUAUGGACAAUACCGUGGGAAGUCCAUUUCGGACAUCGGAUUUCUGAUGUCAGAUGUCGGAUUAUAAAAAAUAUAAAAUCCGAAUUCUGAUUUCUGAAAUCCGAUUUCCGAUCUGUGACCCCGUAGAGACUUAUUCUAAUUUUUAGAAUAGAUAGUAUUUAUUACAUUAGUUAUAAAAUAAAAUUUACAAUGCUAUAAUACGCCAACCCCCGCCGUUCUCGCGAGCAGCGGGGUGAAAAUAUAGUCCAUACCAUUAGUAAUAAUGGAACGAUAUACGAUGUCGGCUCGUCGCAUCCUGGGGGUGAAGAAGCUCCCAAGGGUUUGGCUGUUCGCCAAUUAAAGCGGCACGCGAGCUGGGUUCAGACCGUCAAUUUGGCGGCUUUCCCGAGUAAUCGGGAUUGAAAAAGUCGACUCAUAUCGGUGAAAUUCUAAUAUAAAAUAUUUGCAAUUUAACCUGUCAUAUAUUAGAAUAAUACCGAGGGAAGUUAAUUAUGUCUAAGAAAAUUACACCAAAUCAAAAAGCUUAUAAAGAGAAAGAGACAUAAUUUAACCCCGUAGAGACUGAUCCUUAAAUGGAGAGGGCAUGAUAUUUUUAAGUCAUGUCAACACGUCGACCCCCUAACAGGUGUUUAGGGUGAUGGUAUAGUCCAUGCACUUAGUAAUAAGUGACUAAUUAUAAAAUGCGUAAGACAGGUCGGUCUCCUAUCCACUAUGAUCGUGGAAACUUGAGGAGUCCCUUUCCUAGUACGAGAGGACCGGAAAGGACAAAGCUCUAGUGUACCAGCUGUUCCAUCAGGGGCAUUGUUGGGUAGCUACCUUUGGUUAGGAUAAGCGCUGAAAGCAUCUAAGCGCGAAGCCGUCUCCAAGAUUAGGUUUCAUAGGCUGGUUAUAGACUAUAACCUUGAUAGGCUCUAAGUGUAAGCAUGGUAACAUGUUCAGCUGAAGAGUACUAAUAAGCCAUUUAAUUUUCCCAC
rnacentral:rRNA from 1 species